UAUAUUUAAGAGUAUAUAUAUAUGUAUAGUACCGGUAAUAAAAUAAGGUAAUAAAAUACCUCAGAGUAUUCAGUUAUAGAAAUGUAUAAUUAUAUUUUACAGGGUUGUUGACAUUUGCAUAAAGCCCUAUUUUUGUGAGCAUUGCAUUGCGCAUUAGAGGAAUAUAAAAAGGCUAAUUCGUACUUAUUAGCUUGUGCAUUGUAACAAUUUUUUAAUACUUCUUGAAUGUACCAGUCGCACAGCGAUUCCAAUCUAUCAACAGUUGUCUGUAUCAUAUUUUCACAAUUAAUAACGGAAGAGAAACUUGUUAUUUAUAUUGCUCUUAUCACUUUAUCUCUGAUACUAUAUUUAAAAAAGAAAAAUUUUUUAAAUUAUCUCUGCUUACCUGAGCAAUAACUAAUCCAUGAUUUGAAUUACUAGCAGUGACAUGGCUGUGCGAAUCAAAUAAUGUUACCUACAAAUAAAAUUAUUCUACAUAUGCAUAUAAUUUAUACUUUUUUUCUCUUUCUUACUUUAUAGGUAAUUUCUUGAAAUAUGAAUAAUAUAGUACGUCCGCACGUGAUGAGCAGCAUAAAUAGAGUAUGAGAUCUUGGGAUUUUAUACCACUCGUAUAGAAAUGUAUUUAUAUUCUUGUACAAACUUGUUUCUAUUUCUUCGUGAAAGACAUUGAAUUUCUGCGAUAAUAAGAAUUUUUAUACUGAAUAUUAUAUAUAAUUUGUCUUGAAUAUUAUUAGCAUGCGUUGUUUACCCAUUCUUUUAAUAUGUUUAAGCUUUUGCCCCCAUAUUUCAGAGCUUCUUCGGUACUCAAAUAUGGAUGUGAUAUAAGUCUUUCCUUAAUUAGCCACGCAUGAGUUACAUUACCCUCUAUCAUCGCUUCUGCUAUGAUGAUAUUCAAUCUCGGACAGUUUUCUAUAUCGUGGAUCAAUAAAUGUCCUCUUGAUAUUCGUACAGCCACGAGCAAACAUAUCAGUGUACAAGCUUCGCUUACUAAAGGAUUAUUCAUUAUUUAUUACAGGAUUAUUCGACACAAAAAAAUUAUAGAGUGAUGCUUAAUUACUUUCUUGUCCUGGUGGAUAACGGCUUUGUGUAAAAUCCGGAUGAUACCAUAACACAUCUACUUCGUGAUUAGAACAAUCUUUUACAUAUGUUGGGAAAUGACAGCUAAAUAGUGGUGAUUUUAUAUUUCCAUUUAAAAAAAAAAGGUUUGAAAUUAUUUAAGACAUUUUGGAUGCCAAAAUUUUGUACAAUAGUACAGUUUAUGUGUUUGUGUUUUAGGCUAAAAUAAUUGAAUAUCAAGGAUAGUGUGUUCAAUGAAUACAAAUUAAGUAAUUAUUUGUAGCAAUCAA